AACGAACGCUGGCGGCAGGCUUAACACAUGCAAGUCGAACGGGUGCAGCAAUGCAUCAGUGGCAGACGGGUGAGUAACACGUGGGGAACCUUCCUAGGGGUACGGAACAACGCAGGGAAACUUGAGCUAAUACCGUAUACGUCCGUGAGGAGAAAGAUUUAUCGCCCUUAGACGGGCCCGCGUCGGAUUAGCUAGUUGGUGGGGUAACGCCUACCAAGGCGACGAUCCGUAGCUGAUCUUAGAGGAAGAUCAGCCACACUGGGACUGAGACACGGCCCAGACUCCUACGGGAGGCAGCA
rnacentral:rRNA from 1 species